AUGCCCGGAGUUACUGUAAAAGACGUAAACACAUCAGGAGUUCGUCAGAGCUCUGGCAGUCUUCCUCAAAAAGUCCAAGAAGCUGAAAGAUCCCAAAUGGGUGGACACGGUCAAGCUGGUCAAGUAUAAAGAGCUUGCUCCCUGCGAUGAGAACUGGUUCUACAUGCGAGCUGCUUCCACAGCACAGCCCCUGUACCUUCGGGUCGGUGGUGCUGGGGUUGGCUCCAUGACCAAGAUCCACGGGGGACGAGGUCAGAGAAAAGGCAUCAUGAUGCCCAGCCACUUCUGCCGAGCCUCCAAGAGUGUAGCCCACCGGGUCCUUCAAACCCUGGAGGGGCUGAAAAUGGUGGAUAAGGACCAAGAUGGGGGCCGCAAACCGACACCUCAGGGACAGAGAGAUCUGGACAGAAUCUCCGGACAGGUGGCAGCUGCCAACAAGAAGCAUUAGCACAAACGAUGCUGGGUUAAUAAAUUGCCUCAUUCGUUUAAAAAAAAAAAAAAAAA